rnacentral:rRNA from 1 species
AAUGAUCAGAAGUGAGAAUGUUGACAUGAGUAGCGACAAACAGGGUGAGAGACCCUGUCGCCGAAAGUCCAAGGGUUCCUGCUUAAAGCUAAUCUGAGCAGGGUAAGCCGGCCCCUAAGGCGAGGCAGGAAUGCGUAGUCGAUGGGAACCACGUUAAUAUUCGUGGGCCAGAAGGAAGUGACGGAUCUCGAAGAUUGUUCGCCCUUAUCGGAUUGGGCGGGCCGUUUAGAGGUUCCUGGAAAUAGCCCUUCAUCAGACCGUACCCUAAACCGACACAGGUGGACUGGUAGACAAUACCAAGGCGCUUGAGAGAACCACAUCAAAGGAACUCGGCAAAAUGCCUCCGUAAGUUCGCGAGAAGGAGGCCCCAUCUUUAGGCAACUAGAGGUGGGGGGCACAGACUAGGGGGUGGCGACUGUUUACUUAAAACACAGGGCUGUGCGAAGUCGCAAGACGACGUAUACAGUCUGACGCCUGCCCGGUGCUGGAAGGUUAAGAGGAGAGGUGCAAGCUUUGAAUUGAAGCCCCAGUAAACGGCGGCCGUAACUAUAACGGUCCUAAGGCAGCGAAAUUCCUUGUCGGGUAAGUUCCGACCUGCACGAAUGGCGUAACGAUCUCCCCGCUGUCUCUGAUGUGGACUCAGCGAAAUUGAACUGUGUGUCAAGAUGCACACUACCCGCGGUUAGACGGAAAGACCCCAUGCACCUUUACUAUAGCUUCGCACUAGCAUCAGGAUUGAGAUGUGCAGGAUAGGUGGUAGGCUUUGAAGCGGGAACGCCAGUUUCCGUGGAGCCUCCCUUGAGAUACCACCCUUCGCACUCUUGAUGUCUAACCGCGGUCCGUUAUCCGGAUCCGGGACCCUGCGUGGUGGGUAGUUUGACUGGGGCGGUCGCCUCCUAAAGAGUAACGGAGGCGCGCGAAGGUUGGCUCAGAGCGGUCGGAAAUCGCUCGUUGAGUGCAAUGGCAGAAGCCAGCCUGACUGCAAGUCUGACAAGACGAGCAGAGACGAAAGUCGGCCAUAGUGAUCCGGUGGUCCCAAGUGGGAGGGCCAUCGCUCAACGGAUAAAAGGUACGCUGGGGAUAACAGGCUGAUGAUGCCCAAGAGUCCAUAUCGACGGCAUCGUUUGGCACCUCGAUGUCGGCUCAUCUCAUCCUGGGGCUGGAGCAGGUCCCAAGGGUAUGGCUGUUCGCCAUUUAAAGAGGUACGUGAGCUGGGUUUAGAACGUCGUGAGACAGUUCGGUCCCUAUCUGCCGUGGGUGUAGGAGAUUUGAGAAGAGUUGCCCCUAGUACGAGAGGACCGGGGUGAACGAACCACUGGUGGACCAGUUAUCGUGCCAACGGUAGUGCUGGGUGGCUAUGUUCGGACAGGAUAACCGCUGAAGGCAUCUAAGCGGGAAGCCCCCUUCAAAACAAGAUCUCCCUUGAGAGCCGUGGAAGACCACCACGUCGAUAGGCCAGAGAUGUAAGUGCGGUAACGCAUCCAG